AAUGAACGCUGGCGGCAUGCCUUACACAUGCCAGUCGAACGGCAGCAUGACCUAGCUUGCUAGGUUGAUGGCGAGUGGCGAACGGGUGAGUAAUGCAUCGGAACGUGCCUUUUAGUGGGGGAUAACGUAGCGAAAGUUACGCUGAUACCGCAUAUUCUCUGAGGAGGAAAGCAGGGGACCUUCGGGCCUUGCGCUAGAAGAGCGGCCGAUGUCGGAUUAGCUAGUUGGUGAGGUAAAGGCUCACCAAGGCAACGAUCCGUAGCGGGUCUGAGAGGAUGAUCCGCCACACUGGGACUGAGACACGGCCCAGACUCCUACGGGAGGCAGCAGUGGGGAAUUUUGGACAAUGGGCGCAAGCCUGAUCCAGCCAUGCCGCGUGAGUGAAGAAGGCCUUCGGGUUGUAAAGCUCUUUCGGCUGGGAAGAAAUCGCACCCUCUAAUACAGGGUGUGGAUGACGGUACCAGCAUAAGAAGCACCGGCUAACUACGUG
rnacentral:rRNA from 1 species